UACGUAGGUGACAAGCGUUGUCCGGAUUUACUGGGCGUAAAGAGCGCGCAGGCGGUCGAUCAAGUCGAGUGUGAAAGCCCCCGGCUCAACUGGGGAGGGUCAUUCGAUACUGAUCGACUCGAAGGCAGGAGAGGGUAGUGGAAUUCCCGGUGUAGUGGUGAAAUGCGUAGAUAUCGGGAGGAACAUCAGUGGCGAAGGCGGCCUUCUGGUCCAGUACUGACACUCAAGUGCGAAAGCGUGGGGAGCAAACAGG
rnacentral:rRNA from 1 species